rnacentral:lncRNA from 1 species
CCCCUCCACACAGCCCCACCGGGCCCCAUCACUUUGGACCCCACCGGGGCGCCCGCGACUCCCGCCCUCUGUCGGGCUGGGGCACGGCCGCCUGGCAGAGCGUCGCCCCGCUGACCCAGGUGCUGAGCCGGCUGAGGCGGCACGACCGUUAGCAGCACAGAACGUUCCAGAGCGCCUCGACCCGAAGAACGAACGGGUUAAAACGUUGUCAAGCGGGCAGCACUGCUUGUGUCUGUGCUUUUAUCAUCUGGAGAGGGUCUGGGAGCUAGACUGAGGAGGCUGUCCAGUUUGUUUUGGAGGUUAUUUGUUGACUGUAACUUCAGUAGCUGAAAGCAGGUGCUGCUUGGAAGACGCCGUAGGACUUGGAAUUGUCUAUGUCUGAGGAAGGAAGCUUUUUAGAAACCAUUGGCUCUUGCUGCCUCCUUCACAUGAAUAUAAUGAUGUUGCUCCAGUGUUCCACCAUGAAAAAUAUCAAUCAAGUCUCCUAGAUGUGCUUUGUGGGAGAAAAUAUGAGCAGUAAGGUGUGUGCCACCACUGGUAGCAUACACGAUUGUGUGCCACAAUGACAGAAUCUCUUGCUAUGGAGUAGCUGAAUGAACCAUUAAUUCAACCUUCCUUCUGAAAAGAGAAAGCUUAGUAGUCUUACUGAGUAUUGUACUGAUACUUAUCUAUGUAAAAUACUUUUUUUUCCUUAACGAAUUCCCAUUAAUUGUUUAUAGCUAACUCAAAUUUAUUCAAAAAGUUUUUGUGAUACAAUUUAUAAGAAUUCUUUGGGAUCUCUGGGUGCUUCCCAACUGUUGAAUUGUUGAUGUGUUUUGUUAAACUUCUUACUCUGAUCAUCACUUCAUGUAUUAACAUAUUCAUGAUGAGUGAAUGCAAAAGGGAACACAAAGACAAGAAACACAUUCAAAUAUUAAUUUGAGUGAAUACUUUUUGAAGAUUUGAUCUGGUGCUAUUCAAAAUGCGGUGCUUCUGAAUCAGGAGCAAUAAAGUCACAAGAGAGAGUGCUGGAAGUAAUCCAUGGACAUCCUGUUCUUAUUAGAAGUGGGCUAAAGCAUUCUGACAGAUUUCAAACCUGCUGAAAUAUUCUUCUUCUUUUUUUUUUUUUACUUCUUUUACACCAGCAUUACUGGGAGCACAUCUUACUUAUCUGUUUAAGGGUGGCUAUGAAAAAGGGAGAAGACAGAGAUAUAUUUGGUGAAAAAUAGGGUGAGAAAAGAAGCAGAGAGUUGACUGUGUGAAGAAAGAAAGAGACACCCUGGGAAAGCAGCAGAGAAAAGGGAAAGAAAAGAAAUCCUAAUUUUUUAAAAUAUGACUCCUUAGAACUGAGACUGUGCCAAACCCUGGACUUGGAGGCUAUUCUGUCCUUAAUACAUUGCACAUGAUUGUCUGUAGCUAGAAAAACAUUUUUUGUGGGUUUUGAAAAAUCAAAUUACCCUUAUAUGAAAUAAAACAAACUAUGAGUUUAUAUGGCAGAGUAAAAAGAAACCAAAUUCAUUUUGCAAGCCUUUAGAGAGUUUAAAAAUCCCUUAGGCUCACAAAAACUCAAACUCCGUAGCGUUCAAAUAUUCAAAUGUUGUAGGAGGUACAAUUGACUUAAUUCCAUUUACUUUAAUUAAGUUUUCAUCAGACUCUUUCUAUUUAGUUAACUGAUUCUCCUCUCAAGGCAUGUUUAUAUUAAGGGCAAGAUCCAAAAUACCAUAUGGAUACUUCCUGUGCAAUCUAGAUAGCCAUUAAGUAAGGAGAUUGGUUAUAAAACCUGUGUAACUUUAAAAGCUACAAGACUGUAGGCAGUUUGGUAUCCCUUAGGAAUGCCUUUCUGCUCCAUAUCUGAAGCAUGGGCCUCAAGCUUAGCAUCUUGGCAGACCAGCAGGGUCUGUUCUCAGAUGCCAUGCUGCCUACCUAAGCUUAUGACACUCAAACCUGCAAUGCCAGCUUGUCUUCUACAAAAGUGAUACCUAUUGAGUGGGUGACAAAACUGGGAUGUACAUGGAGUUAGAUGCUGAAACAAGGUGUGUAAAGCCUCUGAUAGGCAAUAGAGACACCAUGCAAUUGAGUGGAGGUAAGAACGGCUGUCCAGGGUCACGACAAGAAUUCACCCAGCCCUGCUACUUGACUGGCAGGGAGGCAUGAUGGUCAUGAAGGUGAUUUCCUAGGUAGGGCCUCAUUCCUUGUACUUCUGGUGACCUGACCACUGAAAAUUCUGUGAUUUAGGGAACUACACUGUAAAAUUUGUAAUGUGAGAUACUGUAUAUGUAUGUUUUCUUAAAUUAAAACACAAUCCCACCUCCAAACUCCCAUUAAUGUUAAGUGGAUGCCUAGAGUAGAACACAGUAAACAGUGAUCUGAUUGCAGCUUAAAUCUAUACCAACUUGGAACAUCUUUGAUGUUCCUUGUAAGGAAUUGCACCCAUUUCAUGAAAACUGUAUUUUUCAGUUCUGUUUGAAUUCUCAUUUGGGGCUUCAUUUGAUAUCCCCCACUCUUGAACUGGAAGAUUCAGCAAAACGUUGGUGCCAGACUACCUUCACCAUGACACGACUUCACACACUUCCGCCACAUCCCUCCUCAGUCAUCUGUUUCCCAGACUGCAGAGUCCCGAAUUGUUUGAUAGUUUCCUUGUAUGGAAGUUGUUGCAGACCUCUGACCAUAUGUCCUUGCUCUUUCCCAGUUUUUCUGUGUUACGUGCCUUCACUAUUGCUCUAUAGAAUAAUGUGUAGUUCAUUUUUCUUAGGAUACAUUUAUAUAUACAUUUGUAUAUAUGUGAGGCUAUGCAAGUACUUGCGAUGUUUUUCACCUGCUCUUCUACCAUGGAUAUCUUCUUCCACAGAUCUGUUUAUUUAUGAUUGUACCUGGACCAGGUUUGGGAAUUUGGGUGUCACAGAGUCACAGAAUUGUAGGGUUUGGGAGGAACCUCUGGAGAUCAUGUCCUACCUUCCAGGCCAGUAUGUGACCUCUUGACCAGAGCUGCACAGUCUCUUUCUCAGACUCAUUAAAGAAUGAGAUCAGCAGUUAUGCCGUGUACAAUGCAGCUGCUCCAAGGCACCCUUACUGCAGCCUGGCUCCAGCCCUACUGCUUUAGGUCAUCUCUGAGAUGACAGAGCUUGUGGUCUGUUUGGAACUGGGUGCUGGUUGUCCUUAUCUUCUAUAAUUGCUUAGCUGUUGUAACACUUUUUCUCUUCCUCCUCUAAGUGAAAUAGCAUCUACUGUGAUACUUCCUCAUGUGCUUGCUCCUAUGGAUGUACUGUGUGUGUCCAUGUGCCAGGCAGUGUUAGUAAGCAUGCAGAGUGAGACCUUGAGCCCCCUACAGACAGGUACCAAAUUGCGUUCCAAAAACACUGCUGACAAAAAUGGAGAUGAGAGGAUAUUUCAAGAUUUGCAGUUUGUGUUUAAGUGUUUUAUGUCUGCUUACAUCCAACUUAGGUGCCCAUGAUCUCAUGAGAAGCUAUUUCUUGGCCUCCUUACACAUAAGUAUUUCUAUCUUACAGAAGUAGUUCCCCAUCUGAGGUGGGUGCAUGGACACAGGUGGACUAAAUAUGCACUGAUACUAUCUUAUUUAGGACUGAGCAAGUCCGCAGUUUAACUGAAUCUGUAGUAGAUGUCACUGAAUUGCACAGAAGGCUGCUGAUAAGCUAUUGCAUCAUCAUAGGUGCCUACCACAUACAGCAGUUUCGACUUGGAUAUGAGGUCAAUAAUGUCCUCAGUGGCUGACAUAGGAGGCAGAGGUUACAGUAAGGAUCUGUCUCUACAGUUUCACAAAGAUAGUGUUACUGUUAUCCUUGCUUAACACAUCAGCUUGGGAUACAGAGUGAUUUUGAUGUAUGUAAGCCAUGAUCGCUCAAAGUCUUUGAAAGAGCCAAGAGGUGACAUCUGUUCUCCUGCAUCCUAGUAUGGUAAUUGGCCACUGAAGCCUUUUUUGUUCAUUAUUCAGAUAUUUUGGAAAAAUUAUUAUCACUGUUCUUAUGCUUUCUACUCUUCUCCUGAGAACAAAACAAAUCCUUCCGAGGGAAAAAAAGAGUUAGGUAAUGAUGGUCUGUGGAGUUGGUGAGGAUAAUCUUUCUUUCAGUGACUUGUCUUUUCCUGUAAGCACCUCCAAAUGUUAUUGCUCUCCAUGGAGCAGGUUUAUAAAAUAAUGGGUAAGUCAUACUAAUUAUCCUGUGAGCUGUAAGGGCUGCCUGCUUUUCCUUUAGAGAAAGUAAGUCAGCUUUCACAUCUUUGCUAAAAUUCAUAGCAAGAUAGUGAAGGAGCUCAUUUCUCACUGCAGUAAAGGAAGAAGGAAAUGGCAUAGAAGUUUGUCUCUGAAUUUGCCUAUUUCAGUCUGCAAAUAAUGAUUUGUAAAUAGAAUUUUUGGGUGAUAUUUUCUCUACCAUGUGCUAACAACACGCUGCUCUGUUCAGCUGCUUGAAACAAAUAGAACUGAUGCUGAAAAGUGAAAUAAAAGCAUCACUAAAUUAGCUGCAUAACAUCCAGAUCAAUGUACCUUUCUAAGAGCAAAAUAGCGGGUACUACUCUUCUUUGGGUCAUAGCAACUGGUUGAUCAGUGUCAACAGAUAUGUUAUAGCUCCAGAAUGAGCUAUGAAAAUGCCAAGGUUAGAUUUUCUUAUUUGAUACUUCAUCACAAAAUUUCAACCGGACUGGAUUCCCCACAGGGGAUCUUAAACUAGAAAUCCAGAUAUAUCUGGGAAUAACUUUAGUGAGCAAAAAGUGAUAAUAAUAAAAAUAAUGUGUACUUCGUAUAGAGGAGUAUAAGUGUUUUUCUAAAUACCAAUCAUUUCCAGUAAUAUCCAUUUCAUCCACUUCAUUUAUUAUGGUCUGUAUGAACCUCUUUGUAUCUGUGAAUACAGAAUAAAGAAUUCUGCUCUCAAAGCCUUGAAAGCUCUAUUACUAGUGAAUUCAUGAGGAAAAUGCUGCUGACAAAAUAUAUACAUAUAUAUUUUGACCCAUUGCCUCUUUAUCCCCAUUUAAGUGACUAGUGUUAACAUCACUGUCCAAGUAUAUUCACGCACAGGAGCUUUUACUUUGCUUUCCAUCACUGAGUAGCUGUGCCUACUGAACGUAGUUGCUAUCAUGUUAAAAGCAUGUGAGAUGACCUGCCCAAGUAUUCUCUUGCUGAUUCCUCUUUUCUGGAAUGUAUUCACAUAAAUGUUCCUUCUAACUUCCUUUGUUUAGUAAUGCGUGAGUGCUUACAUCCUGGUAUUGAAAUUAUUUUUUGCUUAUAGUUGAACUGAUGUCAUGCAUCAUACACACUAAUAUAAUGUAUAUUAUAUAUAGGUACUCAUGCUUUUUUUUUAGCCACUCUUUUAUGAAUAGUGAAGAAUGAAUGAGGACAUAUCAAGUUAUGUAAUUAUUGAUGUCUGCCUUGAGCACUGUAACCUGUUAAUGUCAAAAUAGAAACCUGCAUGGUUAUUACUGCAAAAUAAGGUCACAAAUAAGGAGUAGAAAUACUCAAAAUGCAUUGGAAUAUGAGGACAAGUAUAUAAUCAAAAGUUGUUGUCAGCUAUAUUAAAGAAAAUUAUAGUUGAUUUAACUUAAUGGUAUGUUCAUAUCUGAAGUAAGAAAUGCAUUAGUUUUGAAGAAGUUUAACCAAAGCUAUUUUACAGUACAGAAAAAUUUUAAAACAUACAUUGUACAGUUCAUGGAUCAGAUUUUUGUUUGUAUUCUGUUUAGAGCUACCAUUCGAAUGAUUUGUGAAUAACAUUCUGCAGGGUAUAUUUUUUAUUCUUCUGCCUCCAAAACAAGAAUUGUUUUUAUUUAUACAAAAGAAAAGCUUAAUCAAAAUAGAAUAUAAUGUAGUUCUGAACCAGGUAAUAUUUUUUUGGAAACAAUUAUCUGUUUAUUAAACAAUAAUGAUUUUCCUGUAGUUUUG